UGUGCCAUUACUUGCAAAGACAAAUGGCCUGUCCACCUUUUGGGGUGUAAUUUAAAAGCCAUUUGUCUAGUGGUAAUAACUGGAAAUGGACUUCCACUGUAGGAUCCUACGACUUCCUGUAUGAGCAGCGCUGAUGGCGUGUGGCCACCUCAGGACUGGUUGGCCAGGCUGUUUCAGAACCUUAUUGUUUUCACGGGAGGAAGUGCUGAGCACCGGAAGUGCGGAGCAGCUGGAAGCUUACGGUGGAGCUGAGGGAAGCCAGACAGCGGACUCUCAUUUCACGCCCUUUAGCAGCAGGAAUAAGAAGAAAUGCACUCACUCUAUGGGCCUUCCCGUGACUGUUAGAAACGACACAGAAGACACUGGCAGAAAUGGAAGUAUCAGGAUGGCCUCUUCCCAUGGUAAAUCUAGGUGA
rnacentral:lncRNA from 1 species